rnacentral:rRNA from 1 species
UGGGGAAUAUUGAACAAUGGAGGGAACUCUGAUGCAGCGACGCCGCGGGAACGAAGAAGGCUUUCGAGCCGUAAAGUUCUUUUAUAGGGGAAGAUAAGGACGGGCAGAAAAGAAAAAGCCCCGGCGAACGACGUGCCAGCAGCCGAGGGAAGACGUAGGGUGCUAGCGUGGUACGGAAUCACUGGGCGCAAACGGUGCGCAGGCGGAACUGUAAGGAAGGUGUAAAAGGCAGUAGCUUAACUACUGUACGCAUUUGAAACUUCAUCUCUUGACAAUUGUAGCGGUAAGUCGAAUGUUUGGUGGAGCUGUGAAAGGGGUAUAUAUUGAAAAGAAUACCGGUGGCUAAGGCGACUUACUAGGCUCAUUCUGACGCUGAGGAACGAAAGCGUGGGUAGCAAACAGG